AAAGAAUCUUCAACAUGUAACACCCAUGACAUUUAGAGAAAAUGUCAUGUGUAUUUACACAUUUAUAAAAGAAAAAUAGAGCUAUAUUUUUUAUGUCGACUCUCGCGGUAACGGGAGUUUGACGAGAGUUUGACCGGUAUAAAUAACUUCCGGUCGAGCUGAGACUUCCUUUCUGUUGAGUGUCGAGGACGAGGGGGUCGAAGUGGAAGGUUGUCCUAAUUCAGGGCAACAUACUUUAACUUUACCCCUUACCCUUCACUUUUCCCCUUCACCUCAUCCCAAUAAAGAAUUCGGGUUGACGAA